GGGCGUGUGGCUCAGUUGGUAGAGCGUUCGCUUAGCAUGCCUGGUGCAUGCGAAAGGUCCUGGGUUCGAUUCCCAGCUCGUCCA